rnacentral:tRNA from 2 species
GCCGAAGUGGCGGAAUGGUAGACGCGAUGGUCUCAAAAACCAUUGGGAGCGAUCCCGUGUCGGUUCGAAUCCGACCUUCGGCACCA